GUGGGGAAUUUUGCGCAAUGGGGGAAACCCUGACGCAGCAACGCCGCGUGAGUGAUGAAGGCCUUCGGGUCGUAAAGCUCUGUCAGAGGGGAAGAAAUGCAGGGGUGCUAAUAUCAUCUUUGCUUGACGGUACCCUCAAAGGAAGCACCGGCUAACUCCGUGCCAGCAGCCGCGGUAAUACGGAGGGUGCGAGCGUUGUUCGGAAUUAUUGGGCGUAAAGCGCGUGUAGGCGGUUUGGUAAGUCUGAUGUGAAAGCCCCGGGCUCAACCUGGGAAGUGCAUUGGAAACUGUCAGACUUGAAUACGGGAGAGGGUAGUGGAAUUCCUAGUGUAGGAGUGAAAUCCGUAGAUAUUAGGAGGAACACCGGUGGCGAAGGCGGCUACCUGGACCGAUAUUGACGCUGAGACGCGAAAGCGUGGGGAGCAAACAGGAUUAGAAACCCUAGUAGUCC
rnacentral:rRNA from 1 species